rnacentral:rRNA from 1 species
UAAUACCGGAUAGAUCAAAGAUACUGGAAUGUUCUCUGGUCUAAAGCUCCGGCGCCCAAGGAUGGGUCUGCGGCCUAUCAGGUAGUAGUGGGUGUAACGUACCUACUAGCCUACGACGGGUACGGGUUGUGAGAGCAAGAUCCCGGAGAUGGAUUCUGAGACAUGAAUCCAGGCCCUACGGGGUGCAGCAGUCGCGAAACCUUUACACUGCGGGAAACCGCGAUAAGGGGACCCCGAGUGCCAGCACCUAGUGCUGGCUGUCCUGCUGUUUAAAAAACAGUGGUUAGCAAGGGCCGGGCAAGACCGGUGCCAGCCGCCGCGGUAACACCGGCGGCCCGAGUGGUAGCCGUUAUUAUUGGGUUUAAAGGGUCCGUAGCCGGCCUAUUAAGUCUCUUGGGAAAUCUGGCGGCUCAAUCGUCAGGCGUUC